UACGAAGGGGGCUAGCGUUGCUCGGAAUUACUGGGCGUAAAGCGCACGUAGGCGGCUUCUUAAGUCGGUGGUGAAAUCCUGGAGCUCAACUCCAGAACUGCCUUCGAUACUGGGAGCUCGAGUCCGGGAGAGGUGAGUGGAACUGCGAGUGUAGAGGUGAAAUUCGUAGAUAUUCGCAAGAACACCAGUGGCGAAGGCGGCUCACUGGCCCGGUACUGACGCUGAGGUGCGAAAGCGUGGGGAG
rnacentral:rRNA from 1 species